GCGUACGAGGCAAGGGAUACGGGUUAUGGUCAGUGGCUCUUAUUAAGUUGACCAGGAUAACCUAGAUAAGCAGGUAAGCUGUAGAAAUCAGCGCUCACAAGCGUAACGCACGCAUGCAACUUGCGUAUCAAUACACUUGGGACGGGCGACUUCAGGUUCAGCGCUCACUAAAGGAACCCUUGAGCAUAUCCUGUUGCUGCCCAUACUCAAUGUCAGGCCAAAGAUCAUUUCAUCUGAAGAUAUGCACUCCAUGGACAAAGAUUGGAUGAACAGUCAUGAACACACAUUCCCCAACUUCUGAAAAAAAUAAAAUGCCAUUUUAUUAGGAGGAAAUUUUUUGGCUGUGA